rnacentral:tRNA from 1 species
AGGGAGUUAGUCCAAAACUAAGACCUCUGAUUUCGGCUCAGAAAAUUGUGGUUUAAUUCCGCAACCCCCUU